rnacentral:rRNA from 1 species
GAUGAACGCUGGCGGCGUGCCUAAUACAUGCAAGUCGAGCGAACAGACGAGGAGCUUGCUCCUCUGACGUUAGCGGCGGACGGGUGAGUAACACGUGGAUAACCUACCUAUAAGACUGGGAUAACUUCGGGAAACCGGAGCUAAUACCGGAUAAUAUAUUGAACCGCAUGGUUCAAUAGUGAAAGACGGUUUUGCUGUCACUUAUAGAUGGAUCUGCGCCGCAUUAGCUAGUUGGUAAGGUAACGGCUUACCAAGGCAACGAUGCGUAGCCGACCUGAGAGGGGGGUCGGCCACACUGGAACUGGGCCACGGUCCAGACGCCUGCGGGAGGCAGCAGUAGGGAAUCUUACGCAAUGGGCGAAAGCCUGGCGGAGCAACGCCACGUGAGUGAUGAAGGUCUUCGGAUCGUAAAACUCUGUUAUUAGGGAAGAACAAAUGUGUAAGUAACUAUGCACGUCUUGACGGUACCUAAUCAGAAAGCCACGGCUAACUACGUG